GUGCUCACUUCGGCAGCAUAUAUACUAAAAUAGGAACAAUACAAAGAUUAGCUUGGCCCCUGCACAAGGAUGAUGUACAAAUUCAUGAAGAACUCACUGCUAUU